AAGGAGACAAAAAACAAACAAACAACUAAAUAUGAAGUGGGUUUUCCAAAAACUUGGUCUCUUGCAGCUGGCAGCUCCUUUACUUCAACUUCCUGGGCAUAAAUCAAAGAUAAAUACCAUUAGUCAGGACCAGCAAAUGAAGCCGAAGAAAGAGAAAAAGACAGUCGAAAAUGAAAAUGAAUAUGAAAACCUAAUAAAUGAAGCAGUCGAUACAGCAUUGACUAUCAUGGCGUCUGGAAAGUGGAAAGAAGAGAAAACACAAGGACAAGAUGUUGUUCAGAGCUGUAUAGUACCGGUAUACGGGAAAGUGUUUAGAUUCAUUGGUAUUGUCAAUUGGCCUCUCGAACAUUUCCUGAAUGAAAUUUUCUAUAAAGUAGAACACGUACCGAAGUGGAACCCAACUGUUACCGAGACAAAGAUUCUUCGUAGAAUAAAUGAGCAAACAGACAUUAUACACAUCGUUUCAGCACCUGGAGCUAAAGGCCUUGUCUCUGGAAGAGACUUCGUGACACUGAGGACAUGGCAGAGACGGGGAAACAGUAUUAUUCAUGGAAUGGUUUCUGUAACUGUUCCCGAAAUGCCGGAGCAACCUCCGAGAGUGCGUGGUGAACAAGGGCCUAGCGUCUACAUCUUAACUCCAGUAGAAGGCUGCCCCAACAAAUGCCAAAUGCAGUGGUUAUCAAAUGCCAAUCUCAGGGGUUGGCUUCCACAGUACUUGAUCGACCAGGCAAUGUCUACCGUUAUGCUCGACUACGUCGCUAACUUACGGAAGUACGUUAACUCUCAAACACAGACUUUUAGGCAGUUUCACUAACUCGUCUACUGUAAUAACAUCAGUUGUAAAUAUCAUGCAGGAUUGUGGAACUCCGAUCUGACGAAACAAAACAUCUGGAAAAAGCUCAGUGUUAUAAUUAAUUUCAUAAUUAACGUAACAUGUUCAUUCUGGGUAACUUGGAUUUGGUUCAGCGUGAUCAUAAUCCAUUCUAGUCAUGGAAUGGGCUGAUAUCACUGACUGAACUUCAAAAUUUAUCAUCAGUAAUUUUAUCUGAAUCAAAUAUUUCACAGAGUACGGUAGCAUCAUCCGAGCAUUCCACAACAUACAAAAAACGUAAUAUCAAGUUAGGCGUAAAGUUAAUUUGCAAAAUAGCCAAUCACUGGUCAUUAGAUUAAGGAAGGGGCAAAUCGACUGAAAUAAAGAAAAAGAAGACUCAAGUCACGCAGCUAGAUCAAUACACACCUUAAGAAGACUGAAGUCACUCAGCUAGAUCAAUACACACCUUGAGAAGACUCAUGUCACGCAGCUAGAUCAAUACACACCUUAAGAAGACUCAAGUCACGCAACUAUAUCAGUACACACCUUGAGAAGACUCACGUCACGCAGCUAGAUCAAUACACACCUUAAGAAGACUCAAGUCACGCAACUAUAUCAGUACACACCUUGAUCUAAGAAAAUAAACUUCAUGCCUUGUUUCGAGACCACCAGAUACCUCAAUCAGAAAAAGGAAAAUAGAAAGCCAUAAAGCGGUUGUCCAAUAAGCAGUAAGUUAUUUAAAGAAAUUUUAUCUCUGUUAAAUUCCGAGAUGAGUUGUCAACUUGCUGAAAGAAAUGGCGCUUCGGUAAUUUUACUAUUAUUAAACAAUGAGAUUAGUCGUUAUCUUGAUGCUAAGAAAUAUCUCUUUUGCCACAUUUUAAAAUGAACACCCAAUUAGAGAUGUAAAACUAUCGAGAGAGUUCGUGAAAAGAUUUGCAAACAACAUUCAUUUUAUCCUCGCUCUUAAACAUUUCGCAAGAUAAUGUUGUAUGCUAUUUGAUAGAAAACAGAGUAUUUUUGUCACAAUGCACAUAGGAAAAGUAAGUUUUGUAUUAUAAGUGAGAUUUCUCGAUAACGAAGUAUUUAAGUUCAUAAAUAAUUAAUGUAUAUUUAUGUUUUCUCACUUCAUUAGUUGUUGAAAUGAAAUCAACAACAACAACAAGAAAUAACAUAUUUAAAGAAAUAUAGAUUAUUAUAUGAAAUAAUGUUUUAAGUAUUACAGCGACCUCUGUUUUAUUGUUAUUGCAAUCUUUAUGAAAAAUGUAAUGCAGAACCUGAUCUGAACCGUACUGUUUCAAUUCUAUUUUGUUUCGUAAAUUGGAUUGCUGUACUGUAUAGAUAAAUUCUCUAUGGAUUGUUUUUCUUUUUCUCAGCAUAUGUAUCACUUAUGAUGUAUUUUUAUUCUUUUGGUAAAAUAUGUAUUUUGAUUAAAAUAUUUGACUGAAAUA
rnacentral:misc_RNA from 1 species